CGAAGAACCUUACCUGGUCUUGACAUCCACAGAACUUUCCAGAGAUGGUUUGGUGCCUUCGGGAACUGUGAGACAGGUGCUGCAUGGCUGUCGUCAGCUCGUGUUGUGAAAUGUUGGGUUAAGUCCCGCAACGAGCGCAACCCUUAUCCUUUGUUGCCAGCGGUCCGGCCGGGAACUCAAAGGAGACUGCCAGUGAUAAACUGGAGGAAGGUGGGGAUGACGUCAAGUCAUCAUGGCCCUUACGACCAGGGCUACACACGUGCUACAAUGGCAUAUACAAAGAGAAGCGACCUCGCGAGAGCAAGCGGACCUCAUAAAGUAUGUCGUAGUCCGGAUUGGAGUCUGCAACUCGACUCCAUGAAGUCGGAAUCGCUAGUAAUCGUAGAUCAGAAUGCUACGGUGAAUACGUUCCCGGGCCUUGUACACACCGCCCGUCACACCAUGGGAGUGGGUUGCAAAAGAAGUAGGUAGCUUAACCUUCGG
rnacentral:rRNA from 1 species